GGAGAGAUGGCUGAGUGGCUGAAAGCGCAUCAUUGCUAAUGAUGUGAGGGGGUUCAUACCUCCUCCGAGGGUUCGAAUCCCUCUCUCUCCGCCA
rnacentral:tRNA from 1 species